rnacentral:rRNA from 1 species
CGUGAGGGAGGAGGCUCUUGGGUUGUAAACCUCUUUUCUCAGGGAAGAAGAACUGACGGUACCUGAGGAAUAAGCAUCGGCUAACUCCGUGCCAGCAGCCGCGGUAAUACGGAGGAUGCAAGCGUUAUCCGGAAUUAUUGGGCGUAAAGCGUCCGCAGGUGGCUUUUCAAGUCUGCUGUCAAAGCGUGGAGCUUAACUCCAUAUAGGCGGUGGAAACUGAAAGACUAGAGGCCGGUAGGGGUAGUGGGAAUUCCCAGUGUAGCGGUGAAAUGCGUAGAGAUUGGGAAGAACAUCGGUGGCGAAAGCGCACUACUGGGCUGGACCUGACACUGAGGGACGAAAGCUAGGGGAGCGAAAGGGAUUAGAUAACCCGCGUGAAGGAUGGGUACUGUGCGUA